UCGAAAACAAAAGAAGUUGAAACAAGUUUAGAAAGCAUUACAAAGAAUCAAAAAAAGAAAUAAUCUAUGCAAGAGCCCAAGCAAAUAUUCAAGAGAAAAUAGACAGGAAAGACGAAAAGGAAGUGCACGAUGAACUUACAGAUUUGCAUUCCAGUAGUGACUUCCGAAAAAUCAGUAGUUACGACUGUCUUCUUGAAGAUAUGGCCGAACUAUAUAAAUCUAUACAGAUAUUAAUUCGACGACCAGGCUUUAGACAACAUAUAAAACCCGAUUUGCACAGAUUUGAGGAUAUAGAUAAACAGUUAGAUUUCAGAAAGAAGGAUCUUAUGAUGACGGAUUGUGCUAUUGUGGUAGCAGGAGAAACAAGCUCUGGAAAAUCAACCCUAAUAAAUCUAAUAAUCGGUGACGAUAUUUUGCCAUCUGAUAUCAACGCAACGACAACAAGAGUUUGUAGAAUAAGGUAUUCCGAAAAAAGAAAAGUAUCAACGCUUGAUAAAGACGAGAAAGUGUUAACACUGUCAGAAUUUAAUGAUGAAGAAGACAUGAGUGAAAUGCUCGAAGUAGUUGCUAAGACAUGUGACCAUCGAAUAGAAUAUAUAGAUAUUUGU